rnacentral:rRNA from 1 species
GGUAUGGGAUGAGCUUGCGUCCGAUUAGCUAGUUGGCGGGGCAACGGCCCACCAAGGCGACGAUCGGUAGCCGGCCUGAGAGGGUGAUCGGCCACAUUGGGACUGAGAUACGGCCCAGACUCCUACGGGAGGCAGCAGUAGGGAAUAUUGCACAAUGGGGGAAACCCUGAUGCAGCAACGCCACGUGUGGGAAGAAGCAUUUCGGUGUGUAAACCACUGUCAUGAGGGAAUAAGGCCCGCCUUCGGACGGGAUUGAAUGUACCUUGAGAGGGAGCACCGGCAAACUUCGUGCCAGCAGCCGCGGUAAUACGAGGGGUGCAAGCGUUGUUCGGAAUUACUGGGCGUAAAGGGAGCGUAGGCGGAGAUUCAAGCGGAUUGUACAAUCCCGGGGCCCAACCCCGGCUCUGCAGUCCGAACUGGAUCUCUUGGAUAGUUCAGGGGCAGGC